CAGUAGCCGCGGGAAUACGAAGGGGGCUAGCGUUGUUCGGAUUUACUGGGCGUAAAGCGCACGUAGGCGGAUCGAUCAGUCAGGGGUGAAAUCCUGGAGCUCAACUCCAGAACUGCCUUUGAUACUGUCGAUCUCGAGUCCGGAAGAGGUGAGUGGAACUCCUAGUAUAGAGGUGGAAUUCGUAGAUAUUAGGAAGAACACCAGUGGCGAAGGCGGCUCACUGGUCCGGUACUGACGCUGAGGUGCGAAAGCGUGGGGAGCAAACAGGAUUAGAUACCCCAGUAGUCCCUGUCUCUUAUAC
rnacentral:rRNA from 1 species